rnacentral:ncRNA from 1 species
UAUUUUAAAAUUUAAAAAAUUAACUAAAGUAGAUUUUUUUUAUAUAAAAAAUAAGUGGAAGUUUUACUUGUAUAACGAACUUGAAAUACCACUACUUAUAUUGAUAUUUUACUUAGUUGAUCAUAUAAAAAUUUUAUAUUAAACAAUAUAAUAAUUGUUGUAUUAAAUUAAUAUCUUUGAGAUAUUUAAUAAUCCACGUCAAUGACCAUGUCUGGCGGGGAGUUUGACUGGAACCGUACAUCUAUCAAACUGUAACGUAGGUGUCUUAUGGCAAACUCAAAGAGGACAGAAACCUCUUGUAGAGUAAAAGGGCAAAAGUUUGCUUGAUCAUGAUUUUCAGUACGAAUACAGACCCUGAAAGGGUGGCCUAUCGAUCCUUUUGUAUUAGUAUGUUUCUAAAAAGAGAUACAGAUUUUGCUUUACAAUUUAAAUAUUAAGUACUAAACAAUAUAAACAAAUAAAAUGAUACUAGAAUAUAAAAUAAAAGCAAUUGGAAAUUAAUGUAUUUAUGUUUAGUAUCCAACACUUUUUUCUUAUGCUAUUCAUUAUUUGAUUGUUUCUUUUAUACAUUUGAUCAAUUAUGUUUAGCAUGUUCUCACUUGUUAUUAAAUCGCG